UGGGCUGACCUUCCCCCAUUAGCACAUGGGCC
rnacentral:piRNA from 1 species